rnacentral:rRNA from 1 species
UACGGGGGGGGUAAGCGUUGUUCGGAAUUACUGGGCGUAAAGGGCUCGUAGGCGGCCAACUAAGUCAUACGUGAAAUCCCUCAGCUUAACUGGGGAACUGCGUGUGAUACUGGAUGGCUUGGAUUUGGGAGAGGGAUGCGGAAUUCCAGGUGUAGCGGUGAAAUGCGUAGAUAUCUGGAGGAACACCGGUGGCGAAGGCGGCAUCCUGGACCAAUAUAGACGCUGAGGAGCGAAAGCCAGGGGAGCAAACGGG